GACGAACGCUGGCGGCGUGCUUAACACAUGCAAGUCGAACGGUAAGGCCCUGCUUUGGUGGUCUGCUCGAGUGGCGAACGGGUGAGUAACACGUAAGUAACCUGCCCUUGACUUUGGGAUAACUUCAGGAAACUAGGGCUAAUACCGGAUAGGAGCUCCUGCUGCAUGGUGUGGGUUGGAAAGUUUCGGCGGUUGGGGUUGGACUCGCGGCUGAUCUGCUUGUUGGUGGGGUAGUGGCUUACCCAGGCUUUGACGGGUAGCCGCCCUGGGAGGGUGACCGGGCACAUUGGGCCAGAGGUGCCAGCAGGACGGCUACGUGGGGAAUCGGUGGAGGAUAGAGCGAGAAAGGCGGAAGCAUGGUGCAGGAUCGCCGCGUGGGGGAUGACGGCCUUCGGGUUGUAAACCGUUUGCGCCUGUGAAGAAGCGUGUGUGACGGUAAUGGGUAAGGAAGCACCGGCUAACUACGUG
rnacentral:rRNA from 1 species